rnacentral:rRNA from 1 species
GGAAUAUUGCGCAAUGGGCGACAGCCUGACGCAGCGACGCCGCGUGGGGGAUGAAGGUCUUCGGAUUGUAAACCCCUUUCGGGAGGGAAGAUGGAACGGGCAACCGUUCGGACGGUACCUCCAGAAGCAGCCACGGCUAACUUCGUGCCAGCAGCCGCGGUAAUACGAAGGUGGCAAGCGUUGUUCGGAUUCACUGGGCGUACAGGGAGCGUAGGCGGUUGGGUAAGCCCUCCGUGAAAUCUCCGGGCCUAACCCGGAAAGUGCAGAGGGAACUGCUCAGCUAGAGGAUGGGAGAGGAGCGCGGAAUUCCCGGUGUAGCGGUGAAAUGCGUAGAGAUCGGGAGGAAGGCCGGUGGCGAAGGCGACUUCCUGGCCUGUUCUUGACGCUGAGGCGCGAAAGCUAGGGGAGCAAAC